CGCAAGCCUGACGGAGCAAGACCGCGUGGGGGAGGAAGGCUCUUGGGUUGUAAACCCCUUUUCUCAGGGAAGAACAAAUGACGGUACCUGAGGAAUCAGCCUCGGCUAACUCCGUGCCAGCAGCCGCGGUAAUACGGAGGAGGCAAGCGUUAUCCGGAAUUAUUGGGCGUAAAGAGUCCGUAGGUGGGGGGGCAAGUCGGCGGUUAAAGACAGUGGCUCAACUACUGAAAGGCAGUAGAUACUGAAGGACUAGAGUGCGGUAGGGGCAGAGGGAAUUCCCGGUGUAGCGGUGAAAUGCGUAGAUGUCGGGAAGAACAUCGGUGGCGAAAGCGCUCUGCUGGGCCGCAACUGACACUCAGGGACGAAAGCUAGGGGAGCG
rnacentral:rRNA from 1 species